AAUCUGCUCCAUUUUAAUUUGCCCAAAUAUUAUGUGAUAGUGAAACUUUUUUUCAAUUUUUAAAUUUUGUUUCAUAUCGUGUACAGUUAUAAAAUGACAAUUAACCUAUUUGAAUUUAUCAUAAGUGUGAAUGUUGACCAAAAAAAUGUUAUAUGAGUUUCACGUUUCAAUUAUUCUAAUUUACGCAUGUUAAGGAAGGAUCAUGCAUCAAUGUUUUUGUAAUCUCUGAAGAGCUUUAUGUUUAGAAGUUU
ensembl:ncRNA C34D10.4 ncRNA